GACCUGGCCGGGCGGUCUGCCUCACGGUAUGUACUGUCUGGCUGGGUCUUACCUCUUGGUGAGCCGGCAUGCCCUUCACUGGGCGUGUCGGGGAACCAGGACUUUUACCUUGAGAAAAUUAGAGUGUUCAAAGCAGGCCUAUGCCCGAAUACAUUAGCAUGGAAUAAUAAAACAGGACGU
rnacentral:rRNA from 1 species